UAGAAGACCGAGAUGUGCCCGAC
rnacentral:piRNA from 1 species